rnacentral:rRNA from 1 species
GACGAACGCUGGCGGCGUGCUUAACACAUGCAAGUCGAACGGAAAGGCCCUGCUUUUGUGGGGUGCUCGAGUGGCGAACGGGUGAGAAACACGUGAGUAACCUGCCCUUGACUUUGGGAUAACUUCAGGAAACUGGGGCUAAUACCGGAUAGGAGCUCCUGCUGCAUGGUGGGGGUUGGAAAGUUUCGGCGGUUGGGGAUGGACUCGCGGCUUAUCAGCUUGUUGGGGGGGUAGUGGCUUACCAAGGCUUUGACGGGUAGCCGGCCUGAGAGGGUGACCGGCCCCAUUGGGACUGAGAUACGGCCCAGACUCCUACGGGAGGCAGCAGUGGGGAAUAUUGCACAAUGGGCGGAAGCCUGAUGCAGCAACGCCGCGUGCGGGAUGACGGCCUUCGGGUUGUAAACCGCUUUCGCCUGUGACGAAGCGUGAGUGACGGUAAUGGGUAAAGAAGCACCGGCUAACUACGUG